CGGUUACACUCCAUCCCUCCGAGUUCAAUGUGGAUAACAGCUUAAAAGAUAGUUAGUCGGAACACUAAGAGUGAGAGUAAGGGGAGAAAUGCUUCUAUGGGUAUAAUCUGUGCAUGAAGGUCUUCUAUGUGAACCCUUGUUGGGAGGGUGAAGCUAUGUGACCCGGUUAAUAGACCAGGAUUAGAGACCCUGUUAUUUCGCGGUGUUAAGUAUAGUGUUUAAAAAGAUAUUUUAGGUAGCUUGCUAGGCAACUACGCUCGACAAGAGUAAAAGUCGAAGUACCUGGCGGCCUGGGAUAACCAUCCUGUGAGACUUGGCGGUUAAACCGAUAAUCCGCGUUUCACCGUACUUGGUUUUGAAGGGCCCGUAUAAUUUACUUUGCGGGAUUUAUCAGUUGGUGUAUGGCCGUCGUAAACUUUCGCUGACAAAGGUUAAUUAAAAGUAAGUAGGAGCCGUUUGUGAUUGAUGAGUGUAUGUAAUUGGCGUGUCCGGUUGUAAUUUGCUUGGACGUGUUAUUGAAACGGAGUAAGUCAGGUCGUUAUGCUGCCGAUAAUCAAGGUGUUCGUUGAGUCACAUUGCAGAGAGCAUGCGGAAGUUAAUAGGAAGUGGUUAAUGGAAGAAGGAAUAGGAAGUAAUGAGGAGAUUAGAACGCUCUCAUGAAUGGUGAACUCCCGGGAGUACAUAUCGCCCGUCGCCCCCGGGGGGGGGUAGGUGACUAAAAGCUUACCCUUAUCCUGGGGUAAGUCGUAC
rnacentral:rRNA from 1 species